rnacentral:rRNA from 1 species
AUUGAACGCUGGCGGCAGGCCUAACACAUGCAAGUCGAACGAGAGGCGGACGGGUGAGUAAUGGCUGAGAAACUGCAUGCCGGAGGGGGAUAACUACUGGAAAAGGUAGCAAAUAGUGCAUAACAUCAGAUGUGCCCAGAUGGGAGUAGCUAGUUGGUGGGGUAACGGCUCACCAAGGCGACGAUCCCUAGCUGGUCUGAGAGGAUGACCAGCCACACUGGAACUGAGACACGGUCCAGACUCCUACGGUAGGCAGCAGUGGGGAAUAUUGCACAAUGGGCGCAAGCCUGAUGCAGCCAUGCCGCGUGUAUGAAGAAGGCCUUCGGGUUGUAAAGUACUUUCAGCGGGGAGGCGUUACCCGCAGAAGAAGCACCGGCUAACUCCGUGCCAGCAGCCGCGGUAAUAC